CCUACGGGGGGCAGCAGUGAGGAAUAUUGGUCAAUGGUCGGGAGACUGAACCAGCCAAGCCGCGUGAGGGAGGAAGGUACAGAGUAUCGUAAACCUCUUUUGUCAGGGAACAAAGACUGGGACGCGUCCCCGGAUGAGUGUACCUGAAGAAAAAGCAUCGGCUAACUCCGUGCCAGCAGCCGCGGUAAUACGGAGGAUGCGAGCGUUAUCCGGAUUUAUUGGGUUUAAAGGGUGCGCAGGCGGUCUGUUAAGUCAGUGGUCAAAGCCCGGGGCUCAACCCCGGCCCGCCGUUGAAACUGGCAGUCUCGAGUAGAGGAGAGGUGGGCGGAAUUCGCGGUGUAGCGGUGAAAUGCGUAGAUAUCACGCAGAACUCGGAUUGCGAAGGCAGCAUGCCGGCUCCACACUGACGCGGAGGCACGAAAGUGUGGGUAUCAAACAGGAUUAGAUACGCUAGUAGUC
rnacentral:rRNA from 1 species